UAGGGAAUUUUCGUCAAUGGGGCGCAAGCCUGAACGAGCAAUGCCGCGUGAACGAGGAAGGUCUUCGGAUCGUAAAGUUCUGUUGAAGGGGAAAAAGAGCAGAGAGAGGAAAUGGUCUCCGAUUGAUAUUACCCUUCGAGGAAGUCACGGCUAACUACGUGCC
rnacentral:rRNA from 1 species